rnacentral:rRNA from 1 species
GAUGAACGCUAGCUAUAGGCUUAACACAUGCAAGUCGAGGGACCGGCGCACGGGUGAGUAACGCGUAUCCAACCCUCCCAUAACUAAGGGAUAACCCAGAGAAAGUUGGACUAAUACCUUAUGGUUAUGGCUGGGGUUGCGUGUGAUUAGCUUGUUGGCGGGGUAACGGCCCACCAAGGCAACGAUCAGUAGGGGUUCUGAUAGGAAGGUCCCCUGCAUUGGAACUGAGACACGGUCCAAACUCCUACGGGAGGGAGCAGUGAGGAAUACAGGGCAAUGGAGGCAAGUCUGAACCAGCCAAGUAGCGGGCAGGGGGACGGCGUAUGGGUGUUAAACUGCUUUUAUAUGGGGAUAGGUACCAUAUGAAUAAGGACCGGCUAAUUCCGUGCCAGCAGCCGCGGUAAUUC